GAUGAACGCUAGCGGGAGGCCUAACACAUGCAAGCCGAGCGGUAGAGUCUCUUCGGAGACUUGAGAGCGGCGCACGGGUGCGGAACACGUGUGCAACCUGCCUUUAUCUGGGGGAUAGCCUUUCGAAAGGAAGAUUAAUACCCCAUAAUAUACUGGAUGGCAUCAUCUGGUAUUGAAAACUCCGGUGGAUAGAGAUGGGCACGCGCAAGAUUAGAUAGUUGGUGAGGUAACGGCUCACCAAGUCAGCGAUCUUUAGGGGGCCUGAGAGGGUGAUCCCCCACACUGGUACUGAGACACGGACCAGACUCCUACGGGAGGCAGCGGUGAGGAAUAUUGGACAAUGGGUGAGAGCCUGAUCCAGCCAUCCCGCGUGAAGGACGACGGCCCUAUGGGUUGUAAACUUCUUUUGUAUAGGGAUAAACCUAGAUACGUGUAUCUAGCUGAAGGUACUAUACGAAUAAGCACCGGCUAACUCCGUG
rnacentral:rRNA from 1 species